rnacentral:rRNA from 1 species
GCAGAGAUGCUUUGGUGCCUUCGGGAACUCUGAGACAGGUGCUGCAUGGCUGUCGUCAGCUCGUGUUGUGAAAUGUUGGGUUAAGUCCCGCAACGAGCGCAACCCUUAUCCUUUGUUGCCAGCGGUUAGGCCGGGAACUCAAAGGAGACUGCCAGUGAUAAACUGGAGGAAGGUGGGGAUGACGUCAAGUCAUCAUGGCCCUUACGAGUAGGGCUACACACGUGCUACAAUGGCGCAUACAAAGAGAAGCGACCUCGCGAGAGCAAGCGGACCUCAUAAAGUGCGUCGUAGUCCGGAUUGGAGUCUGCAACUCGACUCCAUGAAGUCGGAAUCGCUAGUAAUCGUGGAUCAGAAUGCCACGGUGAAUACGUUCCCGGGCCUUGUACACACCGCCCGUCACACCAUGGGAGUGGGUUGCAAAAGAAGUAGGUAGCUUAACCUUCGGGAGGGCGCUUACCACUUUGUGAUUCAUGACUGGGGUGAAGUCGUAACAAGGUAAGCGUAGUGCU